UCUCUCUCUCUCUCACUUUCUCCUCUUAGGGAGCACGGCCGGCCGGCAGGGGAGGAGCGCGACGGGCGCGCGACGGCCAGCGAGGGAGGAGCGCGGCUGAGAGGAGGGUUGGCGCGAUGGGUGGCGGUCGGCGACGCGGAGCACGACGACGACUUGGGGCCGCCGCUCGCUUGCUCCUGGGGGCUGGAAGAGUAGCACGCAGCCACGCACUCAGAGUGGAAGCGGUGGGUGUCCGGCGACGUCCCGAGGCGGGCGAGGACGGCGGUGGCUUGCCUCCCGCUCCUCUCCCCGCCGAUCUCCCUCGCCGGCCCGCGGGUGCGCGCGGAGAGGAAGAAGGGCAGCGGCCGGCCGGCAGAAUAGCCGCUCACAGCCUCACACCCGCUCAAAUUCUUCACAAUCUAUGGGCUGUGGCUAGUGGCCGCAGUACAGCUAUGGGGGAUGCCAUCCUGCUGCAGACCAACCACAUUCGACGUUAACAAGGUGCCAACCAUGCGGGGACCUAGUGCACCGGCGGCGCGGCGCACUGAGGACGACGAGGGGCGGCGGCGGCACGCGGCGCGCGGUGAAGGCCGGCCGUGCGUCGGCGGGGUGCGGCGCACGGCGUGACGGCAGCCGACGGCGGGGCGCGGUGGCGGCUAGGCGGCGGCCGCGACGCGGACACGCGGCGGCGGCGCGGCUAGGACACGGGCUCGUGGUGGCUGGCGUGCGGCGGGCCGGCGGCUCACGGCGCCACGCCAUGCGGGGCGGCGUGGGGGCGGUCAAGCGGGCAUGGCGCGGUGCUGCGAGCACGCCGCGGACGGCGAAUGCGGUGCAGCGGGCUAGCACGGCGCGGUGCGGCGACGCCGGUGGCCGGGUGGGUGCGGGAUACGGCUGAGCGGCGGCUCGGCGCGGGAUGCGGCCGAGCGGCCAUGGCUGCUCGCUGCUCCGCCCUUUUCCUUUUUUUUUUCUUUCUUCAUUUUCUUUUCCCGUUGACUUCGUGUGGUCGGGGAGGCGCGGCGGCGCGGCUGGGCGACGACCGGCGUGACGCGGCGGAGUUCAGUGCAAGGCGCGGCCCAGGUAGUGGCGCGGUCCGGGGCGGCCGUGCAGGUGCUGUGGCCGGCGCGCAGCCGACGUCUCCAUCAGUGCCCUUUCGUUUUCUUUUCUUCGCCGGGGACGAGAGAGGGUGCUGAUGUGGCAUCCUAUUACGUGGAUCCCACGCUAACUCAGCCGCCACGUCGUAUAAAGCCGAAGUCAAAACCACCGAAAGACUCAAAUCGAACGGUUUUGUAAAGUUGAAGGAUGUCAGUUUUGCGGUUGAGGGAUGAUUUUGUAAUUUGAUGACAAGUUGAGGGACCUUAGGUGUACUUUUUUCAUUUCCUAAUUUAUAUACUACCUGAAAGGCUGAAAUGAAUAGGAAAAAGUACACCGAAGGUCCCUUAACUUGUCAUCGAGUUAUGAAAUCGUUGUCCAACCACAAAACCAGAUAUAUAAUAUCCCUCAACUUAAAUAACCGUUCACUCUCUUCAUGUCAGCGUGGCUAUGUCAUCACCUCUCUCUUUCCCUCCUCUCUCUCUCUCUCUCUCACUUUUCUCCUCUUUCCCCGCCGCGCCGUGCCUCCCUCCCGGUGCUCGCUCUCCUCCUCCUCCCCUUCCGCGUCCUCGCCGCUGCCGCGGGGUCCCACUUCUCCCCCUGCGGUCUCCCGCCUCGCGGGCCGCCUCCGCCUCUCCCCGUCCAUGGCCGCCGUCACGCUCCUCGCGCUCGGCAACGGCGCGCUCGACGUCACGGGCGAACGAUGCAGGAGGGACGGCGAACGGCGCGGCGAUGAGCGCGACAGCCCCGACGACGAACGCGGAGAUGAACGGGCAUCGACGGCCGGCGACAGACGACAAGGCGGCGACACUGGAGAAGGGAGGAGGCCGGCGGGGCGACGAAGGAGAGGAGAAGGUCCGGCGGCUGGCUCGCGGCCGCUCGCUCGCCCGCCACCGCCGCUCUGCUCCACCGACCGCGCGCUUGCCUGCCGCCGACCCGCCGUCGGCGCUUCGCUCCGCCGGCCGCUCACCCGCUGCACGUGCGUGCCCGCUGCCGCUUCACUUCACUCUGCGCCUGACACUCACCGACGCCCCGACCCCUCCGUCCUCGGCGAGCUCGUGUACAGCAUCCCCGGCGCCAAGAACGUCCUCGAGAUGCCCCUCCUCGCAGCUCAGGCACGUACAUGAACUCUCAUGCGAUUAUCCAUUUAAUCAUUGUGUUUGUUGCUCAUAAUUGUUAGCUAAAUAAUGUAAUCUUGUGCAGUUUCUGUUGUUGCGUUGCAUACAGUUGGCUGUGUUAGAAUCUGGCAGCAGCCGGUCAGUAGUGGAUCUAGAUCAAUCGGGCUUCUUUCUGUUAUGCAUGUAACAAACUCUGUAAUUGAGGAGAAUAAAUAGAAAACCAGAAAAGCAGCAAAGGUAUUACGCUGCGCCAAAAACUCUGCUCGUUUUCUCUGUUCUUCAGUUAAACUGUUCACGUUCGACAAAAGGUUCAGAGAUUGUGAGAGUGAGAGUGAGAGUUCGUGAGUUUUGAUUCAGUGUUUCUGUGUUCCUAACAAUAAUCAUCUACGAGUUCUUGUUAAUGGCGAUGGUUUAGGUGACUCAAGUGCGAUGGGUUCGUGCUCGGUCUCGCCAUCAACCACUGCAUGUUCAACGGCGUCGGCGUCAUGCAGUUCGUCAACUCGGGGUGUGCCGCUCUCCGUCCCGCCGGCGCUCGACCGCGCCCUGCUCCGCGCGCGCGACCCCCCGCAGGUCGCGUUCCUGCACCACGAGUUCACGCAGAUCGACGACGGUGAUGACGGCGGCUCGCCGGCGCAGAACGGCGCCGAGCCGUUCCUGCACAGGUCGUUCCGGUUCACGUCCGAGUCAAUCGCCCACGUCAAGGCGCUCGUCUCGGUCGACGGCGGCGGCGGCGGGCGCGCGCCCACGGCGUUCGAGGCGCUGGGGAUGGGGCAUGCGUGGCGGAGCAAGCUCCUCUUCGCCGUGGACGGGCGGCCGCAGUUCACGUCGCCUCCUCCGGCAAGGAGACGCCGGGCCCAGCCCCGCGCUCGCGGGCGCUGCCCUCCGGCCGGCCUGCCCAGAGGAGAAAAGUGAGAGAGAGCGAGAGAUUGGAGGAAGGGAGAGGAAAGAGGGAGGAAAGAGAGGUGAUGAUAUGGCUUACUGACAUGUGGGGCCCACGUGGGUCCCACGCUGACUCAGCCGCCACGUUGGAUAAAACCAGGGUCAAAACCAUCAAAUGACCUAAAAUAAACGGUUUUGUAAGUUGAGGGAUGUCAUAUAUCGGAGGACGAUUUCGUAACUCGAUGACAAGUUGAGGGACCUUGGGUGUACUUUUUCCAAA